CGUCUUUUCCCCCGGUUAAGAUGACUAACAGUCGGCAUUUGGCACCACCCACCCUGUUUAGUUUUAACACAUCAUGACAUGAUUGACGUGAGAACAUGAGCAGCAGGAUUGCUGAGUACCUUGCUGUCAGUCCUGCAGAUGUGAAGUUAAGUAGAAAUGAGUCGGCAUGUCCUCACCUUUCAUGUUUGUCUGAUAUCUGAUGGAACAAUAAACGCUUAGAAAACGGUCGACCACUUAGCAUGCAGGCCGAUCUGUCAGUCCUGCUGCACCGAGCUCAGCAUAACAACCUAUCUGGGAUCUGAGUUGCAGGGCUGUCGACUGUGUGCUGCUUUACUGAAUACACUGUGGAUAUUUGUUAGAUAAUCAUUUACAUAAAUUUAGUGUGUUUGUGAAUGCUAAUGAUUGUGUAAUGCUCAUUUGCUUUAGGAAGCUGCAGCUCAAAACUGUGACAUGGAACAAAUCAGGACAAACUUUGAUGAAUAAGUCGAGCACUUUUCCAUCUAUUCAGCUACAAAUCUUACAACACUGAAGUGAAGGCAUUUUCUCUACUUUGAAAUAUCCAAGUGUUCCAGGUAGAGCUGAGACUGAUGCAACAGCCUUUCUCCACAGACUUUGGCAAAGUAUGUCUUCAGGCAAGAAAUCAGGAGCCUCCAUCAUCUCUUUAUGCCAUGCAGUUUUCAGGAGUGCAGACUUUUCAACCAUAAACUUUUGAAUGCUUUCAGUAAACUUUGGGAAUAUAUGCCGUAUUUUUAAAUGUGUUUACUCUCGUUUACGGAUCAACAUGUUUCAACUCCUCAAUUGUCAAAUGUGGCAGUUCAGUCAGUUAGCUACUCUUCUUUAUUUCACUAAUGCAGGUACCUCUCUUGAGCCAGUUUUGAAUCUAUCUCUAAAUAGAUUCUGCAUGUGAAUAAAAAAGGAAAAAGUGCAUCUAUUUGUAUCCCAACUAAUAAAGCCAGCAUCAGUUGUAUGAAGA